ACCAAACACUUGGCGCCUUUUUUACCUUUUUUAAAAUAUAAAUAACUACGGUACAAAUAUACAUUAACCAACACAAAUACCUGGAUAUGUCAUUAAGAAAAUAUGAAAAAUGCAUUAAAAUUACAAAAGAUUACUAUAAAUAUAAAUAAUAAUACACAUCUUAAUUCUGUUUGUACCAUGUUAUCGAUUUUGCAAAAGUAAUGCACAAAUAUAUAAAAAGAUCCGAAUAAUCAUAUUCUUUAUUUAUAAAUUUAAACAUAUUCAGACAUUUGCAUUGAUCAAUGUACAUAUUUAUAAAAUGACAUGUAUGUCACAAAUAAUAGCAUAAAAUUACCUUUUUAUCGCUAAAAACUACAAUCUUCGUCGUACAUUAAACGUCGCAUGUUAUACACAAUAAAUGCAAGCCACUUCCGUGUCUCUUGAUAACAAAAGGCACAAUCAUUAACAAUACAAUUAAUGAUUAAUCGUAUACGACUACUUUUUCAGAAAACGCGCUAUCAGCGCCGUGAUAUCAAAAAAAGUACAUGCAACCUAUUGAUUAUCGAAUUAAAAUCCCUAUAACACCAGAUAACUAAAAUUCACGUGGGUAACACGUGGCUCGCUCGCGCUAUGCACCAGCUCGCAUGAAGUGACGCGUAUGGGAUUAUGUUAUUAUUGAUUUUUUAUUUAAUUGUCAAUUAAUCAUUGACACCAAUGUAAAAUUAAUUAAUCAGAGAAUAACAUAGCUCAUCAGAUUUUAUCAGAUUUUACACUGGUGUCGAUGAGAUAGAUGAGAUGUUGCAUGAUGUAAAAUGUGUAUUAUUGCUAUAAUUGUCAACAUUUAACCAAUACACAAUUCUUCUACAUGAUACAACAUCUCAUCUCUCAUUGACACUAAUAUAAAAUCAGAGAACUAUUUUAUUAAUUUUACAUUGUUUUAAUGUAAGUUGCUCGGAUCAGAAUUCAGCUUGUGUCAAGUGACAUGUGUAGUGGAGGUUAAAUCGUUUAUUUAUCGAAAUAGAUGAGAUGUUGCGUGAUGUAAAUUAUUGCUGUAAUUGUCAAUCAAUGAUAAUGUUGUAAGGAUAAGAAUUUUAAUAAACAUGUGGGUCGGCAGUAACUCGUUCACGCUACGCGCCAGCUUUCAUCAAGGGUGCGUUUUUAAAUUCGCAACGGAUGCACUGGAGUGUCAUCCUAUCUUUGUUCAACUUUCCGUAAGUAACAAAGAUGGAAUGACAUUCUGGUGUAUCUGGCAGCAUCCGUUGCGAAUUUAAGAACGCAUCCCAAAUGACGUGUAGUGUUAAUAAAAUAAUGUCAACUGUUUCAAAAUUGCUGUCUGUACUGAUACAUACAUUAUAGAUAGAUUUUCAGUACUGAGAGCAAUUUUGAAACAUAGUCUUUAUUGUGCUUUAAUUUAAUUUAUAAUCAUGUUAAUAGAUAAAAACUCGGGGUGACGGAGAGUAGGAGAGAGAGAGAAAGAGAAAGAGAGAGAGAGAGAGAGAGAGAGAGAGAGAGAGAGAGAAAGAGAAUUAUAUGUGUCUUUUCUGAACACAGCGCAUUAUCACCGAUAGCUCAGUGAACAGCAAUUCAUUAUUUAAUGAUUUUUCAGUGGAAACUCAGGAUGAGAGAGACAAAGAGCAGGAGAGAAAGAGAGAAGGAAUUAUAUAUGUGAUCUAAACCAGCGAAACAUGAAUGAUGACAGUAUAUUACCAUCGAUAGCUCAGUGGAGAUAUUAUUAUUUAAUGAUUCUUUAGGCAAGUCGCACAUUACGUAUCUGUAUCACAUUUUCAUGAAGUAAUUUAUAAUUAAAAAUGUAUCCUGCAAAUAUUUUAA
rnacentral:lncRNA from 1 species